AAUAAAAGCUGCACGUGGAAAGAGGCAAUUAAAAACCUGAAUUUCAAACUUCAAAACUGUGAAAAAAAGUUGCAUCAGACAAAAAGAAAAUUGAAAAUAUCAAAGAUUCAAAACAAAAUAAACCAGAAAAGAUAUACCAAAGUAUUCAAAUUGAUGACAAAACGUAGAAGUAAGACAGAAUUAGAGACAACAAGAGAUAAAGAGAAAGUACGAUACUGGAAAUCACAAUCCAACAAAAUAAAGCAGCAAACUCAAACUAAACUCGACAAUUUAAGAACAGCCGUAGAUACCCACGAAGAAAUACAUAGACUAAAUCGGUUAGAAACCACA
rnacentral:lncRNA from 1 species